GGUCUCGCCUGCCCAGUGACUCUUUUAAACGGCCGCGGUAUCCUAACCGUGCAAAGGUAGCAUAAUCACUUGUCUCUUAAAUAGAGACUAGAAUGAAUGGCUAAAUGAGGACUAAUCUGUCUCUUACGGACCAACCAAUGAAAUUAAUCUUUCAGUACAAAAGCUGAAAUAAAAACAUAAGACGAGAAGACCCUGUGGAGCUUCAAACCAGACACACCCUGCAUGCUCCUCAGGUUUUUAGUUGGGGCGACUUCGGAGCACAAUAAAACCUCCAAAAUUUUUUAUCUUCAAGAUUAACAAACCAAAAACUUUAUUAGACCCAGCAAUGUAUAACAUUGUCUGACCAUUGAACCAAGUUACCCCAGGGAUAACAGCGCCAUCCCCUCCUAGAGUUCAUAUCGACAAGGGGGUUUACGACCUCGAUGUUGGAUCAGGACACCCCAAUGGUGCAGCCGCCAUUAAAGGUUCGUUUGUUCAACGAUUAAUUAGUCCUA
rnacentral:rRNA from 1 species